rnacentral:rRNA from 1 species
UACGAACUGUGCGAACGUUUAUUCGGAAUCACUGGGCUUACAGGGUGCGUAGGCGGCCGAACAAGUCAGGUGUGAAAGCCCUCGGCUCAACCGAGGAACUGCGCUUGAAACUGUUUGGCUCGAGUCAACUAGAGGUGCACGGAACUUCCAGUGGAGCGGUGAAAUGUGUUGAUAUCGGAAGGAACGCCGGUGGCGAAGGCGGCAUCCUGGACCGAUAUUGACGCUGAUGGCGCGAAAAGCCAGGGGGAGCAAACGGG